AUCGGUCAAUGGUCUGGUAUUUGCGUGGUAUUUUUUGUUGAUACCACAUGUCAAGGGGAACAUGGGAAUGGCAGAUAGAUGGGAAAGAAGAGGAAAAAGGCAAGUAACUAAAACUAUGGACAAACUAUCUACGGACAUGCAAAAACUACAGAAACAACAGGAUUGACAUCUACAACAAAUACAUUGAUGCAGACAAGGAGGGCAAACAACAACGGAGCAUCGGCGGGCAUAACAAACGCAAUGCGAACAUUACGCUUUAUACCGGCCGGCUCUGUUGUCCCCCUGUGUGUUGUUUAUUGGCUGGCUGGAUUGAUGGUGUUGGCGUGCAUCUUGGGCAAAAGUUGGAGAUGGCGUGCGGCUCUAGUCCGGCCGCCCACGUUGCAUCUGUCUGUUGGUUUGGUGCAGCAGACCGAGUGGCACUGGUCCGGCCACCCGAAGAUGCAUUGUCCAGUGUGUUGGCAUUGACAUCGAAAUGUGAUGCCAACGAAUCAUGUUAUUGGCCGCAUCCGAGUGGCGAACUGGUCCGGCCACCAGGAUGCGUUGUCGAUUUUAAUUGUUGGCCGCAUCCGAGUGGCUGCUGGUCCGGCCACCAGGAUGCGUUGUCAGUUGGAUUGGCCUGGCCUCGUUGGCCACGUUCGUCAUCAAUUUGUAAUGGCGUUUUGAAUGGCUGCUGGUCCGGCCAUCCAGAUGAGGAGGUGUUCGUUUUGGCAUGUGAUUUACGUUUGUGUUUAUUUGCAGGUACUUUCGGCGUUUGGAUGUUGUUGCUGGCAACCCUUGUCUGGUUUGUGAUGGCGUAAAACAGCAGGAUUUGCUGGCGUCCGGCGGCUCAACACCGGGCCAUCCCGCCCUCACAUAAUGGCAUGAGAGACGGGUUUGACCGAGUGGAGCGGCAACAGGCGCCAGCAUCUGCAUCGUCGUUGGAAUGGCAGCUGUGAGCAGGUAUUUGCGUGACGUCAUUGUGAUGGUGUGGUGGCAUCGUCAUCAGAAAGGGGGCCUCAUAUUCCUCUUAUUUGGCAGGAAAUUGUAAUGUUGGUGUUGGUGUUGGUGGCGAGGCAGCUUCUUGAUUGGCAGCUCUGUCUGGUGAUUGCCAGCUGAUCCCCACCAAUGGGCCCGUAGCAUAGCCAGCCACGGGCACACCCACAGCUGACCGGCCCAAGUGUGACCAUAGCCCACGCGCCAACGGGCACACUAUCAGCCGGUCCGUACAAAUGCGUUAGGGCCCCCGCAGCACAACGCGCUAGGGACAGACCGUAAGAUCAGCCGCGUUGGGAAUAAAAGGAGCUCCGCCAGAGAGAUCAGCAUCAGUUCGGCUCCGGCCAGUGGAGAGGUAAGCAUCAGUAGCAGCCACCAGCAGCCCCAGCGAUCCUCCCAUCCUCCUCGGAGCGCAUUAAA
rnacentral:sRNA from 15 species